rnacentral:rRNA from 1 species
GACGAACGCUGGCGGCGUGCCUAAUACAUGCAAGUUGAGCGCUGAAGGUUGGUACUUGUACCAACUGGAUGAGCAGCGAACGGGUGAGUAACGCGUGGGGAAUCUGCCUUUGAGCAGGGGACAACAUUUGGAAACGAAUGCUAAUACCGCAUAAAAACUUUAAACACAAGUUUUAAGUUUGAAAGAUGCAAUUGCAUCACUCAAAGACGAUCCCGCGUUGUAUUAGCUAGUUGGUGAGGUAAAGGCUCACCAAGGCGAUGAUACAUAGCCGACCUGAGAGGGUGAUCGGCCACAUUGGGACUGAGACACGGCCCAAACUCCUACGGGAGGCAGCAGUAGGGAAUCUUCGGCAAUGGACGAAAGUCUGACCGAGCAACGCCGCGUGAGUGAAGAAGGUUUUCGGAUCGUAAAACUCUGUUGGUAGAGAAGAACGUUGGUGAGAGUGGAAAGCUCAUCAAGUGACGGUAACUACCCAGAAAGGGACGGCUAACUACGUG